rnacentral:rRNA from 1 species
UACGUAGGGUGCGAGCGUUGUCCGGAAUUAUUGGGCGUAAAGAGCUUGUAGGCGGUUUGUCGCGUCUGCUGUGAAAAUCCGGGGCUCAACCCCGGACUUGCAGUGGGUACGGGCAGACUAGAGUGUGGUAGGGGAGACUGGAAUUCCUGGUGUAGCGGUGGAAUGCGCAGAUAUCAGGAGGAACACCGAUGGCGAAGGCGGUCUGCUGGGCAGUAGCUGACACUGAGGCGCGACAGCGUGGGGAGCGAACAGG